UACAGAGGUCUCAAGCGUUGUUCGGAUUCAUUGGGCGUAAAGGGUGCGUAGGUGGCGCGUUAAGUCGGGUGUGAAAUCUCGGAGCUUAACUCCGAAAUUGCAUUCGAUACUGCCGUGCUUGAGGACUGGAGAGGAGACUGGAAUUCAUGGUGUAGCAGUGAAAUGCGUAGAGAUCAUGAGGAAGACCAGUGGCGAAGGCGGGUCUCUGGACAGUUCCUGACACUGAGGCACGAAGGCCAGGGGAGCAAACGGG
rnacentral:rRNA from 1 species